rnacentral:rRNA from 1 species
UCGAGAAUUUUUCUCAAUGGGGGAAACCCUGAAGGAGCGACGCCGCGUGGGGGAUGAAUGGCUUCGGCCCGUAAACCCCUGUCAUUUGUGAACAAACCUCGUUAUUUAAAAGAUGGCGAGCUGAUUGUAGCGGAAGAGGAAGGGACGGCUAACUCUGUGCCAGCAGCCGCGGUAAUACAGAGGUCCCAAGCGUUGGUCGGAUUCACUGGGCGUAAAGGGUGCGUAGGUGGUGGGGUAAGUCUGAUGUGAAAGCUCAGAGCUCAACUCUGAAAUGGCAUUGGAUACUAUCCUGCUGGAGGUUUGGAGGGGGGACUGGAAUUCUCGGUGUAGCAGUGAAAUGCGUAGAUAUCGAGAGGAACACCAGUGGCGAAGGCGAGUCCCUGGACAACACCUGACACUGAGGCACGAAAGCUAGGGGAGCAAACAGG